rnacentral:rRNA from 1 species
UACGUAGGGGGCUAGCGUUGUCCGGAAUCAUUGGGCGUAAAGCGCGUGUAGGCGGCCCGGUAAGUCCGCUGUAAAAGUCGGGGGCUCAACCCUCGAAAGCCGGUGGAUACUGUCGGGCUAGAGUACGGAAGAGGCGAGUGGAAUUCCUGGUGUAGCGGUGAAAUGCGCAGAUAUCGGGAGGAACACCAAUGGCGAAGGCAGCUCGCUGGGACGCGACUGACGCUGAGACGCGAAAGCGUGGGGAGCAAACAGG